rnacentral:rRNA from 1 species
AUUGAACGCUGGCGGCAGGCCUAACACAUGCAAGUCGAACGAGUGGCGGACGGGUGAGUAAUGUCUGGGAAACUGCCUGAUGGAGGGGGAUAACUACUGGCAACGGUAGCUAAUACCGCAUACCAUCGGAUGUGCCCAGAUGGGAUUAGCUAGUAGGUGGGGUAACGGCUCACCUAGGCGACGAUCCCUAGCUGGUCUGAGAGGAUGACCAGCCAAACUGGAACUGAGAAACGGUCCAGACUCCGACGGGAGGCAGCAGUGGGGAAUAUUGGACAAUGGGGGAAAGCCUGAUGCAGCCAUGCCGGGUGUAUGAAGAAGGCCUUCGGGUUGUAAAGUACUUUCAGCGGGGAGGCGUUACCCGCAGAAGAAGCACCGGCUAACUCCGUGCCAGCAGCCGCGGUAAUAC